UACGGAGGGUGCGAGCGUUGUCCGGAAUCACUGGGCGUAAAGGGCGCGUAGGCGGCGCGGGUAGUCAACGGUGAAAUCUCCGGGCUUAACCCGGAAAGGUCAGCCGAUACUGCGGGGCUAGAGUGCAGAAGGGGCAACUGGAAUUCUCGGUGUAGCGGUGAAAUGCGUAGAUAUCGAGAGGAACACCUGCGGCGAAGGCGGGUUGCUGGGCUGACACUGACGCUGAUGUGCGAAAGCUAGGGGAGCGAACGGG
rnacentral:rRNA from 1 species